UACGUAGGUGGCAAGCGUUGUUCGGAUUUACUGGGCGUAAAGAGCUCGUAGGCGGUGUGUCGCGUCGGCCGUGAAAACCUGCAGCUUAACUGUGGGCGUGCGGUCGAUACGGGCAUCACUGGAGUUCGGCAGGGGAGACUGGAAUUCCUGGUGUAGCGGUGAAAUGCGCAGAUAUCAGGAGGAACACCGGUGGCGAAGGCGGGUCUCUGGGCCGAUACUGACGUGAGGAGCGAAAGCGUGGGGAGCGAACAGG
rnacentral:rRNA from 1 species